GCCAACGAAAGUGAGCUUCAGUCUGAAGGCACUCAGCUGUUAAACGCGACAACGAUGAUGACAGCCAUUUUUGGUAACAGAAUGUUUGCUACAACUUUUCGCGGCCAAUUUUGUGGCCCACUGACUGACAAUGGGAAGUGGCAAAUCCUGUCGCUGUCUCUUUCCUAAGAGCGGCCGCUGUCUCUUUCCACGCCCUUUUUUUGCUAUGUCAGUGACAAUUAGAGGUUGUGUAACAGCGUUGCAACUAUGGUAGAUCUGGAAAAAAAUUAAAAAGGUAAGAGCACACCGCCACUUUGCGGCCAUAGCCAUCGAGGGCAACUCUCACGUGGACUGCGCCCGACUGCGCUACGUGGUCAAGAGUCUGACCCAGUUCAUGCUGACCUGCAACUACGCCUGAACUCCGGUUUGUGGACAGCCAAUCUACCGCUUCCGAUCCGUCAGAUGCCAGGCGGCAUCACUCGGCCUUGGACUCGCUCAUGGAACUGUUUCGCUGCCUUUUUACGGGGCACCGCCACUCAAAAACGCACAUUUAACGCAUCUUGUUUGUCCAUGGUUAUCCGAAACCUGGCCAUAAAUGCCAUACAACGAUUCGCCGGUUUUCAGCUGGUCAUGCAAAAUUCAAACAACUCCGUCCGAAUGGAAUUUCUGCCAAUUUCCUGUGACGAACCGAACCCGAGGUCCUUGGCGGGCUGGGCAGGAAGUAUCGAUGGCGGUGCAAUUACCUGCAUAACAGCCAGGAAAAAUACCGAAAUACACUGCGAAAAAACAUACAUACAAAUUUUUAUAAUUAUGGUUACAAAUUUUGGAAAACUAUUACACCAUACACGAUAGUUAU
rnacentral:lncRNA from 1 species